AUCUCUGCCCAAAUCACCCUGAACAUGCCUGGUUUCACCUAAUCCAGGAAGCUGUGCAGGGUUGGGUCUAGAUAGAACUUGAAUGGGUGACCCCUUGGGAAUACCGGGGGGUAAGGGCU
rnacentral:rRNA from 1 species